GCGUUAUAUGAGAGGUUAGCACUCCCUGUGAUAAGGAUGGAAGAGGUUCUAGUGGCCUUUACAACAUACAUAUGGUUAAGGCACUGUCACCUAUUCUGUGGCAUCUAUGUUUUUUU
ensembl:snRNA